rnacentral:rRNA from 1 species
GAUGAACGCUGGCGGCGUGCCUAAUACAUGCAAGUCGAGCGAACAGAUGAGGAGCUUGCUCCUCUGACGUUAGCGGCGGACGGGUGAGUAACACGUGGAUAACCUACCUAUAAGACUGGGAUAACUUCGGGAAACCGGAGCUAAUACCGGAUAAUAUAUUGAACCGCAUGGUUCAAUAGUGAAAGACGGUUUUGCUGUCACUUAUAGAUGGAUCCGCGCCGCAUUAGCUAGUUGGUAAGGUAACGGCUUACCAAGGCAACGAUGCGUAGCCGACCUGAGAGGGUGAUCGGCCACACUGGAACUGAGACACGGUCCAGACUCCUACGGGAGGCAGCAGUAGGGAAUCUUCCGCAAUGGGCGAAAGCGUGACGGAGCAACGCCGCGUGAGUGAUGAAGGUCUUCGGAUCGUAAAACUCUGUUAUUAGGGAAGAACAAAUGUGUAAGUACCUAUGCACGUCUUGACGGUACCUAAUCAGAAAGCCACGGCUAACUACGUG